rnacentral:rRNA from 1 species
UACGGAGGGUGCAAGCGUUAUCCGGAUUCACUGGGUUUAAAGGGUGCGUAGGCGGCGUGGUAAGUCAGAUGUGAAAUCCCGGGGCUCAACCCCCGGAACUGCAUCCGAUACUGCCAUGCUAGAGGAUUGGAGAGGUAGCUGGAAUUCUUGGUGUAGCAGUGAAAAUGCGUAGAGAUCAAGAGGAACACUCGUGGCGAAAAGCGAGCUACUGGACAAUUCCUGACGCUGAGGCUCGAAGGCUAGGGGUAGCGAAAAGGGGAUUAGAAAACCC